GAUGAACGCUGGCGGCGUGCCUAAUACAUGCAAGUCGAGCGAACAGACGAGGAGCUUGCUCCUCUGACGUUAGCGGCGGACGGGUGAGUAACACGUGGAUAACCUACCUAUAAGACUGGGAUAACUUCGGGAAACCGGAGCUAAUACCGGAUAACAUGUUGAACCGCAUGGUUCAACAGUGAAAGACGGUCUUGCUGUCACUAAUAGAUGGAUCCGCGCCGCAUUAGCUAGUUGGUAAGGUAACGGCUUACCAAGGCAACGAUGCGUAGCCGACCUGAGAGGGUGAUCGGCCACACUGGAACUGGGACACGGUCCAGACUCCUACGGGAGGCAGCAGUAGGGAAUCUUCCGCAAUGGGCGAAAGCCUGACGGAGCAACGCCGCGUGAGUGAAGAAGGUCUUCGGAUCGUAAAACUCUGUUAUUAGGGAAGAACAAAUGUGUAAGUAACUAUGCACGUCUUGACGGUACCUAAUCAGAAAGCCACGGCUAACUACGUG
rnacentral:rRNA from 1 species